AUUGAACGCUGGCGGCAUGCCUUACACAUGCAAGUCGAACGGCAGCACGGGAGCAAUCCUGGUGGCGAGUGGCGAACGGGUGAGUAAUAUAUCGGAACGUGCCCAGUCGUGGGGGAUAACGCAGCGAAAGCUGUGCUAAUACCGCAUACGAUCUAUGGAUGAAAGCGGGGGAUCGCAAGACCUCGCGCGAUUGGAGCGGCCGAUAUCAGAUUAGCUAGUUGGUGAGGUAAAGGCGCACCAAGGCGGCGAUCUGUAGCUGGUCUGAGAGGACGACCAGCCACACUGGAACUGAGACACGGUCCAGACUCCUACGGGAGGCAGCAGUGGGGAAUUUUGGACAAUGGGCGAAAGCCUGAUCCAGCAAUGCCGCGUGCAGGAUGAAGGCCUUCGGGUUGUAAACUGCUUUUGUACGGAACGAAACGGUGAGCUCUAAUACAGUUUGCUAAUGACGGUACCGUAAGAAUAAGCACCGGCUAACUACGUGCCAGCAGCCGCCGUAA
rnacentral:rRNA from 1 species